rnacentral:tRNA from 2 species
CGGAGUUUAGCGCAGCUUGGUAGCGCGCCUGCCUUGGGAGCAGGAGGCCACAGGUUCGAAUCCUGUAACUCCGACCA